AUUGAACGCUGGCGGCAGGCUUAACACAUGCAAGUCGAGCGGGGGAGGUUGCUUCGGUAACUGACCUAGCGGCGGACGGGUGAGUAAUACUUAGGAAUCUGCCUAUUAAUGGGGGACAACAUCUCGAAAGGGAUGCUAAUACCGAAUACGCCCUACGGGGGAAAGCAGGGGAUCACUUGUGACCUUGCGGUAAUAGAUGAGCCUAAGUCGGAUUAGCUAGUUGGUGGGGUAAAGGCCUACCAAGGCGACGGUCUGUAGCGGGUCUGAGAGGAUGAUCCGCCACACUGGGACUGAGACACGGCCCAGACUCCUACGGGAGGCAGCGGUGGGGAAUAUUGGACAAUGGGGGGAACCCUGAUCCAGCCAUGCCGCGUGUGUGAAGAAGGCCUUAUGGUUGUAAAGCACUUUAAGCGAGGAGGAGGCUCUUUUGGUUAAUACCCAAGAUGAGUGGACGUUACUCGCAGAAUAAGCACCGGCUAACUCUGUGCCAGCCGCCGCCGUAAAAC
rnacentral:rRNA from 1 species